rnacentral:rRNA from 1 species
AGAGUUUGAUUCUGGCUCAGAACGAACGCUGACGGCGCGUUUAAGCAUGCAAGUCGAGCGGCAAGGGCCUUCGGGCCCCUAGAGCGGCGGACGGGUGAGUAACACGUGGACAAUCUGCCCCCCGGCCCGGAUAGCCCAGGGAAACCUGGAUUAAUACCGGAUGAGACGGGACCCGCGAUGGCGGGACCCGGGAAAGGCGCUGCGGCGCCGCCGGGGGAUGAGUCUGCGUCCCAUUAGCUAGACGGCGGGGUAACGGCCCACCGUGGCGACGAUGGGUAGCCGGCCUGAGAGGGUGGACGGCCACAUUGGAACUGAGACACGGUCCAGACUCCUACGGGAGGCAGCAGCUAAGAAUCUUCCGCAAUGGGCGAAAGCCUGACGGAAGCGACGCCGCGUGAACGAAGAAGGCCGUGAGGUUGUAAAGUUCUUUUCGGGAGGGGGAACAACCGUGGCAGGGAAUGGCCGCGGGAUGACGUGAAUCCCGGAAUAAGCCCCGGCUAACUACGUGCCAGCCGCGGC